UUUGUGGAUCCAGCAGAAAUGGCAGCUGAAGCGUUAUACGAUCGGGCAUCUCUCAGGUGUUCCCUUUGUCUGGAUGUCUUCAGGAACCCAGUCAUUAUUCCCUGUGGACACAUUUUCUGUAAGGAAUGCAUUACAGGUUUGUGGGAUGAAGAUGUGUGCAGAUGUCCUCAGUGCAAACACACUUUUCCCAACAAACCUGUUGUCAGUGACUGGCUGCAGAUGAAGGAUCUUUCUGAGAAACUGAUGAAGAUGAGACCAAAGGAGGAGGAUGAUGAAGAUGCUGAAGCACAUGAAGUGAGCUGUGAUUCCUGCACCUCCAGAAGAACCAAAGCGGUGCAAUCCUGCCUCACCUGUGUCUCCUCAUUCUGCAGAAAUCACCUGGAGAAGCACAAUGAUCUCUUUGGGUGGAAGAAACACCUUCUGACCGAAGCCACGGAUCUUCAGAGCAAAACCUGCUCUCUUCAUGGGAAACUGCUGGAUGUGUUCUGUCGCACUGAUCAGAAGUGUGUCUGUGUGCUGUGUGCUAUACAUGAACACAAGAAGCACGACAGCGUCUCAGCUUCAGAGGAAAGAGCAGACAGACAGGGAAAGUUAAUGGAAACCCGUGAGAAGUUUCAGCAGAACGUCCGAGACAGAGAGAAGGAUCUGAAAGAGCUAAAGCAGGCAGAAGAGUCCAUCACAUGUUCAGCGCAGACGGCAGUCUCUGAAAGUGAGCGCAUCUUCAGUGAAGUGCUGUCCUCUGUUCAGAAAACAAGCGUCCGUGUGGAAGAACUGAUCACAGAGAGACAGAGAGAUGAACUCAGUCGCAUCGAAGGACUUCAGGAGAAAGUCCAGCAGAAGAUCUCUGACCUCAGGAUGAAGGAGUCUGAGCUCGGUCAGCUCUUGACCACUGAAGACCACAUUCACUUCCUGCAGAAUUAUCCAUCUGACUGUGAAGAAUCCAUGUCUAAAGAAUACGAAGAUCUUUCCAACAUUUAUGAAAAUCCAAAAGCCUACUUUUCCAAUGUGGAGCUGCUGCUUUCUGAAAUGCAAGAGCGAUUGCUGGAGGUCACCAAAGAGACCGAGAUCAAGAUCAGAUCUGGAGAAGCAACAGUCCAGAUAAAGUCCUCUCCAGGUCCUGCUCAGCGGGACCAGAAGGAUGUUUUCAGUUUUGGGGAAUCAGUGGCAGAAUUUACCUUCAGUUUCCAGCACGUUCCCCUUAUAUCCACAUCUGUGGAGGCUUCUGGCUCAGCUCAUGAAGAAGAAAGAUGUAAACAUGAAACCCAAGAGUACUAUAAGCCGGUUGUGCUGUUACCUGAUCUGGUUGAGAUCUCGACUGGAGAGGAGAAUGAGCAAGUGGUUUUCAGUCACAGAGCCAAACUAUAUCGCUAUGACAAAGAAUCACCGCAGUGGAAGGAAAGAGGCGUAGGUGAGCUUAAAAUACUUCAGAACAACGACAGCAGACGUGCAAGACUCGUGAUGAGGAGAGAGAAGGUCCUGAAGUUGUGUGCAAACCACUGGAUCACUCCAAACAUGAAGCUGGAGCCGAUGAAAGCGUCUGAGAAAGCGUGGACAUGGAGCGCUCUUGAUUUCGCUGAUGGAGACGGCAGCGUUCAGACAUUAGCAGCACGGUUUAAACUGCAGGAGACGGCAGACGCUUUCAAGAAACGCUUUGAAGAAGCAGCGGCCGCUUCAUUCACUGGAGCAGAGACACCUGAGACAGAUGAAGAUUUUGAAGUAGCUGUCAGAUCUCUGAAAGGAAAGUUGUAUCCUGAUGCAGUCGGUGAUCAUGAUGCUGGAGCUGCAAUAGAGACACAAAAUCACAGAGAGGAAGAGAACAGUGAUGAUGAUGAUGAAGCAGUUAAUCAUGUAGAUAUCCAGUCACUUCCUUGCUAGAAGCAGCUUUUUACAUUUGUCUGUGUAAAAGUGCAGUCAAAUUAAACAUUCUUGAAUUCUUGAAAUUUUGCAGAAGUCAUACAUUGUUUUGGGGUAAUUGUUUCUCCGUAACAUACUGAAAUCAUAACCAAUAAGAAGUUUUUCAUGUAUAGAUUUGAUAAUCCUUGUGCAAUUGACCCAAUUUCAAACAAAAAACCCAGUUCAUGCUGUAAAAAGAAAAAACAUAUGUUUUAAAUAUGCAUAAAAUAUUCGCAGUGUCCUGGACGGCUGAAGACCCCUCAGACGGAGAUGCUGAAGUUCAGCAGUUUGGUGCCAAGUUUACGACUCGAGGUCUGGCAGAUUCCUUCAAAAAAACCUUGACAGACUGUCAGUGUCUCACGAUCGGAAAAUAAAGCUGUUC